UGGGGAAUCUUGGACAAUGGGGGCAACCCUGAUCCAGCCAUGCCGCGUGAGUGAUGAAGGCCUUAGGGUCGUAAAGCUCUUUCGCCUGUGAAGAUAAUGACGGUAGCAGGUAAAGAAACCCCGGCUAACUCCGUGCCAGCAGCCGCGGUAAUACGGAGGGGGUUAGCGUUGUUCGGAAUUACUGGGCGUAAAGCGCACGUAGGCGGACCAGAAAGUUGGGGGUGAAAUCCCGGGGGCUCAACCCCGGAACUGCCUCCAAAACUAUUGGUCUAGAGUUCGAGAGAGGUGAGUGGAAUUCCAAGUGUAGAGGUGAAAUUCGUAGAUAUUUGGAGGAACACCAGUGGCGAAGGCGGCUCACUGGCUCGAUACUGACGCUGAGGUGCGAAAGUGUGGGGAGCAAAACAGGAUUAGAUACCCUGGUAGUCCACACCGUAAAACGAUGAAUGCCAGUCGUCGGGUAGCAUGCUAUUCGGUGACACACCUAAC
rnacentral:rRNA from 1 species